UACGAAGGGGGCUAGCGUUGUUCGGAUUUACUGGGCGUAAAGCGCAUGUAGGCGGGUCGUUAAGUUGGGGGUGAAAUCCCGAGGCUCAACCUCGGAACUGCCUUCAAAACUGGCGGGCUGGAGCAAGGAAGAGGCAAGUGGAAUUGCGAGUGUAGAGGUGAAAUUCGUAGAUAUUGGGAAGAACACCAGUGGCGAAGGCGGCGCCCUGGAUCUGUACUGACGCUGAGGCGCGAAAGCGUGGGGAGCAAACAGG
rnacentral:rRNA from 1 species